ACCUUCGUGGUGUAGUGGUCAGCACGCUCGACGCGUAACCAAGAGGUCCGUGGUUCUAAUCCCAGCGAGGGCA
rnacentral:tRNA from 1 species